AUCUCUCAUUCUUUUAGUUUCUUUGACUAAGACAGAAAUUUCAGUAACGAGGAAAGAAGAGAAGUUCGUGUAUGUUCCAUCACUUGUACAGUCAAUUCUUUUGCGUUUUUUAGGCAUUUUGCAUCAAAAUCGGAGGCAAUGAAAAUCGGAAAACCGGAGGCAAUGAGCCAGCUGCCAGAGGAGCGUGAACAAUUGGCACUCAAAUACACCACAAGUGAUUGUCGUGUAAAUAAUGAUGUUACUCUUUAACAAACCCGUCAACAAUACCACCGAAGGUCUACCGAGAAACGAAAGGAACCUAAGUAUUACUCAGCUCCCAGCAGCUACCAAACUGAAGCCCCAGAGUACUAUUGAUAGCCCUGUGAUUUUAAUUAGCUCGUUAACAAAAACAAUGCUUCACUGUUUAAUGUAAAGUUCUACCGAAGGCGUUAUUGAUCAUCAUAAUUUUGCUUCAGCUUUAUUUAUGUUCUUGACUAGAAUCACUUCCGAUUUGGAAUGUGGUACUAGCUCAUUUGUCUAUAAUAAAUGUUGCCGUUAAUCAACUUCUAA
rnacentral:lncRNA from 1 species